rnacentral:misc_RNA from 1 species
GCUUUUCAUCAAUGAACUGUCACCCGCUGGGAGGAGAAAGAAAACUCCUUCUCCGCCUCGGAUUUCCUCGCUCUCCCAAUAUUUGCCCAUGUGCGUAGUAAUCGUAAGAGAAACACGAGAGAAGACUGAGUACCAGACGGGGUAAACACACUACUAGAAAGAAAAAAUAUAUAUAAAAAAAAAAAAACUGAACUGGCAAUUCAAUCAAUGCAUGGAAGAAGAGAAUUCCAAGAAGAGACCGCUGGACCUUGACUGGGACGUGAUAUUGGACUCAAAAGACGACGAACAACAGCAGAUACUGAUCGUUAAAGGGCCUACGCAACUGCCAAAACCCUCGCCAAUGAGCACCGAUCACUCGCCUAGGGAGGAUUGUGCUUCCAUGACCGAUCGCGAGCUUGAGGACGGUAUUAAGAGGCAGAAGCUCAAUAUUGCAAAUUUAAGCCCAAUUUUGCCUGACAAAGGUGAGAAACUUCGGGCGUUGCUUAAAACCUUAGAGGAUGAAUACCAACG